UUAAGCUAAGAAGAGCGUAGGGAGAAUGCCUUGGCAUUAGGAGCCGAUGAAGGACGUGAUAAGCUGCGAUAAGCUGCGGGGAUCAGCAAGUAUGAAUUGAUCCGCAGAUUUCCGAAUGGAGCAAUCCGUAUGUGUAUGCACAUACAUCAUAUACUGAAUCAAAUAGGUAUAUGAGGGGAACCGCCUGAACUGAAACAUCUAAGUAGGGCGAGGAAGAGAAAUCAACCGAGAUUCUGUGAGUAGUGGCGAGCGAAAGCGGAAGAGGCUAAACCAUAGGUAGCAAUACUUAUGGGGUUUCGGACAGCAUUUAGUAUUGAUAAUUUCUAGUUGAAACGUGUGGGAAAACGUACCGAAGAGUGUGAGAGUCACGUAAGCGAAAGAGAGAGUCAGCGAGCUGUAUCCAAAGUACCGCGGGACACGUGAAACCUCGUGGGAAGAUGGGGGGACCAUCCUCCAAGCCUAAAUACUACCUAAUGACCGAUAGCGAAUAGUACUGUGAAGGAACGGUGAAAAGAACCCCGGGAGGGGAGUGAAAAAGAACCUGAAACCCUAUGCUUACAAGCACCGAGAGCACGUCAAAGUGUGAUCGGGUACCUUUUGUAGAAUGGUCCGGCGAGUUAUUGUAUGCGGCAAGGUUAAGUGCUUAAGGCACGGAGCCGAAGCGAGAGCAAGUCUGAAUAGGGCGAAAGAGUCGUAUGCAAUAGACCCGAAACCGAGUGACCUAUCCAUGUCCAGGCUGAAGUGGAGGUAAAACUCCAUGGAGGGCCGAACACACGUCCGUUGAAAAGGCCGGUGAUGAGGUGUGGAUAGCGGAGAAAUUCCAAUCGAACUCGGAUAUAGCUGGUUCUCUCCGAAAUAGCUUUAGGGCUAGCCUCGUGAAAGAUUACUGGAGGUAAAGCACUGAAUGGGCUAGGGGUCGAAAGAUUACUGAACCCUAUCAAACUAAGAAUGCCAGAUAAUUGAUUCACGGGAGUCAGACAAUGUGAGAUAAGUCUCAUUGUCAAAAGGGAAACAGCCCAGACCCACAGCUAAGGUCCCUAAACAUUGUUAAGUGGAAAAGGAUGUGGGGUUGCAUAAACAACCAGGAUGUUGGCUUAGAAGCAGCCACUCAUUAAAAGAGUGCGUAAUAGCUCACUGGUCGAGUGACCCUGCGCCGAAAAUUCAACGGGGCUAAACAAUGUACCGAAGCUUGGGAUUCUAAAGUAAUUUAGAGUGGUAGGAGAGCGUCGAAUAAGGGGUGAAGUCAGAGCGGAAGCGCUGGUGGACUUUAUUCGAGUGAGAAUGCCGGAAUGAGUAGCGAGAAUUAUGUGAGAAUCAUAAUGGCCGAAAAUCUAAGGUUUCCUGAGGAAGGUUCGUCCGCUCAGGGUAAGCCGGGGGCUAAGGCGAGGCGGAGACGCGUAGCCGAUGCACAUACGGUUGAAAUUCCGUAGCCACCGAAAGAUUUAAGUACAGGGACGCUUUAGAAGUGAUGUUGCCGGGCGAUGGUUGACCCGGUCGUAAGGGAUCGAAAAUGAGUAGAGAAGUCAUCAUGGAAAGAGACAAGAAAAGCUGUAUGAAUAUCUUAGGUGCCCGUACCGCAAACCGACACAGGUAGAUAGGAAGAAGAUUCUAAGGCCAACGGGAGAAGGGUUGUUAAGGAACUCGGCAAGUUGACCCCGUAACUUAGGGAUAAGGGGUGCUCAAGUGAUUGAGCCGCAGAGAAUAGGCCCAGGCGACUGUUUAGCAAAAACACAGGUCUCUGCUAAAUCGAAAGAUGACGUAUAGGGGCUGACACCUGCCCGGUGCCGGAAGGUUAAGAGGAGAUGUGAGAGCAUUGAAUUGAAGCCCCGGUAAACGGCGGCCGUAACUAUAACGGUCCUAAGGUAGCGAAAUUCCUUGUCAGGUAAGUUC
rnacentral:rRNA from 1 species